AUCAGAGCUGCCCGCCAGUCAACAGUCACCAGAGCUGCCCGCCAGUCAACAGUCACCAGAGUUGCCCGCCAGUCAACAGUCGUCGGAGCUGCCCGCCAGUCAACAGUCGUCGGAGCUGCCCGCCAGUCAACAGUCAUCGGAGCUGCCCGCCAGUCAACAGUCGUCGGAGCUGCCCGCCAGUCAACAGUCGUCGGAGCUGCCCGCCAGUCAACAGUCGUCGGAGCUGCCCGCCAGUCAACAGUCGUCGGAGCUGCCCGCCAGUCAACAGUCGCCGGAGUGGCCGGACUGCGCUGAACUGCCGGAGUGGCCGGACUGCGCUGAACUGCCGGAGUGGCCGGACUGCGCUGAACUGCUGGAGUGGUCGGACUGCGCUGAACUGCCGGAGUGGCCGGACUGCGCUGAACUGCCGGAGUGGCCGGACUGCCCUGAACUGCCGGAACUGCCCUGAACUGCCGGAGUGGCCGGACUGCCCUGAACUGCCGGAGUGGCCGGACUGCCCUGAACUGCCGGAGUGGCCGGACUGCCCUGAACUGCCGGAGUGGCCGGACUGCCCUGAACUGCCGGGUGGUCGGACUGCGCUGAACUGCCGGAGUGGCCGGACUGCGCUGAACUGCCGGAGUGGCCGGACUGCCCUGAACUGCCGGAGUGGCUGGACUGCCCUGAACUGCCGGAGUGGCCGGACUGCCCUGAACUGCCGGAGUGGCCGGACUGCCCUGAACUGCCGGAGUGGCCGGACUGCCCUGAACUGCCGGAGUGGCCGGACUGCCCUGAACUGCCGGAGUGGCCGGACUGCCCUGAACUGCCG
rnacentral:lncRNA from 1 species